rnacentral:rRNA from 1 species
UACGGAAGGCAGCAGUGGGGAAGUAAUUGCACAAUGGGCGCAAGCCUGAUGCAGCCAUGCCGCGUGUAUGAAGAAAGGCCUUCGGGUUGUAAAGUACUUUCAGUCGUGAGGAAGGUGUUAAGGUUAAUAACCUUAGCAAUUGACGUUAGCGACAGAAGAAGCACCGGCUAACUCCGUGCCAGCAGCCGCGGUAAUACGGAGGGUGCGAGCGUUAAUCGGAAUUACUGGGCGUAAAGGGCACGCAGGCGGUUAAUUAAGUUGGAUGUGAAAUCCCCGGGCUUAACCUGGGAAUGGCAUUCAAGACUGGUUAGCUAGAGUCUUGUAGAGGGGGUAGAAUUCCAUGUGUAGCGGUGAAAUGCGUAGAGAUGUGGAGGAAUACCGGUGGCGAAGGCGGCCCCUGGGACAAAGACUGACGCUCAUGUGCGAAAAGCGUGGGGAGCAAAACAGGGAUUAGAUACC